UACGAAGGGGGCUAGCGUUGCUCGGAAUCACUGGGCGUAAAGGGUGCGUAGGCGGGUUUUUAAGUCAGGGGUGAAAUCCUGGAGCUCAACUCCAGAACUGCCUUUGAUACUGAAGAUCUUGAGUCCGGGAGAGGUGAGUGGAACUGCGAGUGUAGAGGUGAAAUUCGUAGAUAUUCGCAAGAACACCAGUGGCGAAGGCGGCUCACUGGACAUGUAUUGACGCUGAGGUGCGAAAGCGUGGGGAGCAAACAGG
rnacentral:rRNA from 1 species